AACGCGAAGAACCUUACCAGGCCUUGACAUGCAUUGCUAAGCCGGUGAAAGCCGGUGAGCCUCGCAAGAGGCACCUUGCACAGGUGCUGCAUGGCUGUCGUCAGCUCGUGUUGUGAGAUGUUGGGUUAAGUCCCGCAACGAGCGCAACCCCUGUGAACUGUUGCCACCCGGCCGCGAGGCCGGAGCACUCUGUUCAGACUGCCCUGUGAAACGGGGAGGAAGGUGGGGACGACGUCAAGUCAGGAUGGCCCUUACGGCCUGGGCUGCACACGUACUACAAUGCUCAGUACAGAACGAACCGAGACCGCGAGGUGGAGGAAAUCCCUAAAACUGAGCCCAAUUCGGAUCGGAGGCUGCAACUCGCCUCCGUGAAGCCGGAAUCGCUAGUAAUGGCGUAUCAGCUACGACGCCGUGAAUACGUUCCCGGGCCUUGUACACACCGAGACGAC
rnacentral:rRNA from 1 species